rnacentral:lncRNA from 1 species
GCGCAUUGUGGAAAAAAAGCAUUGAUUUCAAGACAACACAAACUCUCUCUCUCGAAAAUAUUUUUUGACAAAAGAUUAAUUCACUCUCUCGAGUAUAUAUUAGCUUUUCUAGGUUAAGUUUCACCGACGAUCCGUAUGCUUCCAAUCGCAUAAUCAAAAAUCAAUUAUGUUACUAUAAACUUGUGUUUGCCACUUAGGUUCUACCUGACUGAUUUUACAUUUUAUCACGACAGUUUUCUAUUCUUUUGGCCGACUUAAUUAAAUAAAACAAUUAUAUAAAUAACAUAAUUAAGCGCCAAAAAGAAAUCACUAAAAACAGAGUGGUCUAAAAAUAUCAAAAUAUUCACAAAGAUAAGGUCAAGAUCGACAUUUUAUUUCAAAAGGUCCUUUAUUUGCUCCCUUGUGGUAGUAUAUCACAAUUUGUAUAUCGCAGUUAGGACUGAAAAAAAAUCCGAAUCCGAAAAACUGAACCGAAUCCGAUCCAAAAAAAGCAGUACUAUAUCCGAACCGAAAUUGAUUAAAUAUCCGAACGGAUACAAAAUUUUGGUAUUUAGAAAAC